CGGACGGGCAGGCAGAAAAUUUUAGAGGCAGACUAAAAUUUUCACAAUUUGUUAGUAGUGAAAGAGCAUCUAGGCCCCUAGUGGUUUCGAUGAUUAAUGACAUUGUUGAUUACUAUGACUAACGUGUGUUUUGCAGAGGCAAAGUCAUAGGUAAGGUUAUGGUAUAUAGAUACUCGAUGGACAGGGACGUACAUGCCUACUUAAUAGUGAAAAUCGUUUUCGGUUUUCAAAGAAUGGAUGGACAUCGUCAAGACUAGACUGGGUCUAAGUGCCAUAUGGUGAAGAAGGGCACUUAGAGUAGUUUAGGACUUUGUUUUCCUUUGACCGUACUAUUAAGAGGGGCUUUGAUCUAGUAGCUUGACUUAGGCAAGGCUUUAGGUUUAGGUGUGGUGCACACUUGGUAAACCUAGCACUAGGCAGCUCUGAGAUAGUCCUUAGAUCGAGAGGAACAAACUUCGUGUUGGAG
rnacentral:lncRNA from 1 species